rnacentral:rRNA from 1 species
CCUACGGGGGGCUGCAGUGAGGAAUAUUGCGCAAUGGGGGCAACCCUGACGCAGCAACGCCGCGUGAGUGAGGAAGGUUUUCGGAUUGUAAAGCUCUGUCGAGCGGAAAGAAAUGCAUGGUGGCUAAUAUCCAUCAUGCUUGACGGUACCGCUAAAGGAAGCACCGGCUAACUCCGUGCCAGCAGCCGCGGUAAUACGGGGGGUGCAAGCGUUGGUAAAAAUCGUUGGGGCGGAUAGACAAGUCGGAUGUGAAAUCCCUGGGCUUAACCCAGGAAGUGCAUUUGAAACUGUCCUGCUAGAGUAAGGGAGAGGAAAGUGGAAUUCCUGGUGUAGAGGUGAAAUUCGUAGAUAUCAGGAGGAACACCGGUGGCGAAGGCGACUUUCUGGCCCUAUACUGACGCUGAGACGCGAAAGCGUGGGUAGCAAACAGGAUUAGAUACCCGUGUAGUC